ACAAUAUAAGUAAUUUUGCCUUAAUCUUACUUUAUUAAUAUUUACAUUCUUUAAUGCCUAGAAACAAUGGAGAAAAAAAGGUUUAUAUCAUAAUUCCCAUUUGCCUUUUUAAUGUAUUAACAUCCACCUUUGUAACUGCCUUGACUCCUCCAGGAAAGUUAAGGCACUCUGGAAAUGUUUUUUAACCCUAAUCCCAGAAUCUCAAUGUUGUUGAUUUUAAACAUGUUCUUAGAUUUCAUGCUGCUUUUCUCUGAUAACUUUGUGAGAGAUAUGAUAGGCAUUCAGUCUACUUUUCUAGUUACUGGCAUUAGGAAAUUUGAAAAAAGAUAAAUGAACAUCAGAAGAAGAAAGAGUCAAUUUUCUGCUUGACCAUAAUCAUGUCUAAUUUAGCCUCUUGUAAAGUUCCCAGACAUUUAUGAUCCUUGUCAAGUGCAAAAUAGAAAUGCAGAGAUGGUCUUCAAACAAGGCUUUAAAAAUGUUUCUCUAAGAUGAGGGCAAUUGAAAGCUCAUUUUUAGACCGAACAGC
rnacentral:lncRNA from 1 species